rnacentral:rRNA from 1 species
CAAUAGCGUAUAUUAAAGUUGUUGCAGUUAAAAAGCUCGUAGUUGGAUCUCGGGUCCAGGCUUGUGGUGCAGCUUAGGCUGCUGACUGCACGUCCUGACCUCCCUCCCGGUUUUCCCUUGGUGCUCUUAAGUGAGUGUCUUGGGUGGCCGGAACGUUUACUUUGAAAAAAUUAGAGUGCUCAAAGCAGGCUUUCGCCUGAAUAUUAGUGCAUGGAAUAAUUGAAUAGGACCUCGGUUCUAUUUUGUUGGUUUUCGGAACUCGAGGUAAUGAUUAAGAGGGACAGACGGGGGCAUUCGUAUUACGGUGUUAGAGGUGAAAUUCUUGGAUCGCCGUAAGACGAACUACUGCGAAAGCAUUUGCCAAGCAUGUUUUCAUUAG